ensembl:snRNA U2 U2 spliceosomal RNA
AUCGCUUCUCGGCCUUUUGGCUAAGAUCAAGUGUAGUAUCUGUUCUUAUUUUUUAUUUCAGUAACUGUGUAUUGCAAUAUCUUAAAACUGUGCAACUCCAA